rnacentral:tRNA from 1 species
AGGUAAAGAAGUAAAAUCUACAUUUAAUUUCGACUUAAAAAUUAGAGUAAAAACUCCAUACCUU